GCUUACGGCCAUACCACCCUGAACACGCCCGAUCUCGUCUGAUCUCGGAAGCUAUGCAGGGUUGGGCUUGGUUAGUACUUGAAUGGGAGACCGCCUGGGAAUACCAGGUGCUGUGAGCU
ensembl:rRNA 5S_rRNA 5S ribosomal RNA